rnacentral:rRNA from 1 species
GGUAUUUUGACCGUGCGAAGGUAGCGCAAUCACUUGUCUUUUAAAUGAAGACCUGUAUGAAUGGUGAAACGAGGGCUUGACUGUCUCCCCUCUCCAGUCAAUGAAAUUGAUCUGUCCGUGCAGAAGCGGACAUAAUAAUACAAGACGAGAAGACCCUUUGGAGCUUAAGAAUAAAGGCCACCUAUGUCAAGAGCCCCUUAACACGCUAAACUAAAUAGUACAUUGGCCCUAAUCUUCAGUUGGGGCGACCACGGAAGAAAAUAAAGCUCCCGCGAGGACUGGGACCAUACUCCUAAAACCAAGAGAGACAUCUCCAAGGCACAGAACAUCUGACCACAAGAUCCGGCCACAGCCGAUCAACGAACCAAGUUACCCUAGGGAUAACAGCGCAAUCCCCUUUCAGAGUCCAUAUCGACAAGGGGGUUUACGACCUCGAUGUUGGAUCAGGACAUCCUAAUGGUGCAGCCGCUAUUAAGGGUUCGUUUGUU